AGUGAACGCUGGCGGUAGGCCUAACACAUGCCAGUCGAACGGCAGCACAGUAAGAGCUUGCUCUUACGGGUGGCGAGUGGCGGACGGGUGAGGAAUACAUCGGAAUCUACUUUUUCGUGGGGGAUAACGUAGGGAAACUUACGCUAAUAACGCAUACGACCUACGGGUGAAAGCAGGGGAUCUUCGGACCUUGCGCGAUUGAAUGAGCCGAUGUCGGAUUAGCUAGUUGGCGGGGUAAAGGCCCACCAAGGCGACGAUCCGUAGCUGGUCUGAGAGGAUGAUCAGCCAGACUGGAACUGAGACACGGUCCAGACUCCGACGGGAGGCAGCAGUGGGGAAUAUUGGACAAUGGGGGCAAGCCUGAUCCAGCCAUACCGCGUGGGUGAAGAAGGCCUUCGGGUUGUAAAGCCCUUUUGUUGGGAAAGAAAAGCAGCAGGUUAAUACCCCGCUGUUCUGACGGUACCCAAAGAAUAAGCACCGGCUAACUUCGUG
rnacentral:rRNA from 1 species